AUUGAACGCUGGCGGCAUGCUUUACACAUGCAAGUCGAACGGUAACAGGCCGCAAGGUGCUGACGAGUGGCGAACGGGUGAGUAAUGCAUCGGAACGUGCCCAGUCGUGGGGGAUAACUACUCGAAAGAGUAGCUAAUACCGCAUACGAUCUAUGGAUGAAAGCGGGGGACCGUAAGGCCUCGCGCGAUUGGAGCGGCCGAUGUCAGAUUAGGUAGUUGGUGGGGUAAAGGCUCACCAAGCCAACGAUCUGUAGCUGGUCUGAGAGGACGACCAGCCACACUGGACUGAGACACGGCCCAGACUCCUACGGGAGGCAGCAGUGGGGAAUUUUGGACAAUGGGCGCAAGCCUGAUCCAGCAAUGCCGCGUGCAGGAAGAAGGCCUUCGGGUUGUAAACUGCUUUUGUACGGAACGAAACGGCUCUGGUUAAUACCCGGGGCUAAUGACGGUACCGUAAGAAUAAGCACCGGCUAACUACGUG
rnacentral:rRNA from 1 species